rnacentral:rRNA from 1 species
GACGAACGCUGGCGGCGUGCCUAAUACAUGCAAGUAGAACGCUGAAAGAAGAGCUUGCUCUUCUGGAUGAGUUGCGAACGGGUGAGUAACGCGUAGGUAACCUGCCUGGUAGCGGGGGAUAACUAUUGGAAACGAUAGCUAAUACCGCAUAAUAGCAGUUGUUGCAUGACAACUGUUUGAAAGGUGCAAUUGCAUCACUACCAGAUGGACCUGCGUUGUAUUAGCUAGUUGGUGGGGUAACGGCUCACCAAGGCGACGAUACAUAGCCGACCUGAGAGGGUGAUCGGCCACACUGGGACUGAGACACGGCCCAGACUCCUACGGGAGGCAGCAGUAGGGAAUCUUCGGCAAUGGACGGAAGUCUGACCGAGCAACGCCGCGUGAGUGAAGAAGGUUUUCGGAUCGUAAAGCUCUGUUGUAAGAGAAGAACGAGUAUGAGAGUGGAAAGUUCAUACUGUGACGGUAUCUUACCAGAAAGGGACGGCUAACUACGUGCCAGCAGCCGCGGUAAUACGUAGGUCCCGAGCGUUGUCCGGAUUUAUUGGGCGUAAAGCGAGCGCAGGCGGUUAGAUAAGUCUGAAGUUAAAGGCUGUGGCUUAACCAUAGUACGCUUUGGAAACUGUUUAACUUGAGUGCAAGAGGGGAGAGUGGAAUUCCAUGUGUAGCGGUGAAAUGCGUAGAUAUAUGGAGGAACACCGGUGGCGAAAGCGGCUCUCUGGCUUGUAACUGACGCUGAGGCUCGAAAGCGUGGGGAGCAAACAGG